CGCGUAGGCGGCCAACUAAGUCGAACGUGAAAUCCCCGGGCUCAACCCGGGAACUGCGUCCGAUACUGGUUGGCUUGAAUCCGGGAGAGGGAUGUGGAAUUCCAGGUGUAGCGGUGAAAUGCGUAGAUAUCUGGAGGAACACCGGUGGCGAAGGCGGCAUCCUGGACCGGUAUUGACGCUGAGGCGCGAAAGCCAGGGGAGCAAACGGGAUUAGAUACCCCGGUAGUCCUGGCCCUAAACGAUGAAUGCUUGGUGUGACGGGUAUCGAUCCCUGUCGUGCCGAAGCUAACGCAUUAAGCAUUCCGCCUGGGGAGUACGGUCGCAAGGCUAGAA
rnacentral:rRNA from 1 species